rnacentral:siRNA from 1 species
AAGGGCAAUCCACGUGAGGACUUG